UUUGUCUCAUAGUAAUAUUUUGAAAUUAAUUUUUUAGUUAAAAAGCUAAAAUUAAUUUUAAAGACAAGAAGACCCUAUUAAGCUUUACAAUUUUAUAUUAUUUUCAAACUAAUAAAAUAAUUGUUCUGCUGGGGCAGCAAAUAAAUAAAUAUUAUUUAUAUAUUGUGAUAAAUAAAUCUAGAAAAAUCAAUAAUUUAUUAAAUAAUAACAAGUUACUAUAGGGAUAACAGCAUAAUUUUUUUAAAGAGUUCUCAUCAACAAAAAAGUUUGUGACCUCGAUGUUGGAUU
rnacentral:rRNA from 1 species